UGGCUUCUAGUGGGUUGGGGGUAGUAAAGUCUUUUGGCGGUGUGGAUGGGCCCGCGGCCUAUCAGCUUGUUGGUGGGGUAAUGGCCUACCAAGGCGACGACGGGUAGCCGGCCUGAGAGGGUGACCGGCCACACUGGGACUGAGAUACCGGCCCAGACUCCUACGGGAGGCAGCAGUGGGGAAUAUUGCACAAUGGGCGCAAGCCUGAUGCAGCGACGCCGCGUGAGGGAUGACGGCCUUCGGGUUGUAAACCUCUUUCAAUAGGGACGAAGCGCAAGUGACGGUACCUAUAGAAGAAGGACCGGCCAACUACGUG
rnacentral:rRNA from 1 species